UGGUCAUACGGGGCGCAGCAGUCGAGAAUCAUUCACAAUGGGGGAAACCCUGAUGGUGCGACGCCGCGUGGGGGAAUGAAGGUCUUCGGAUUGUAAACCCCUGUCAUGUGGGAGCAAAUUAAAAAGAUAGUACCACAAGAGGAAGAGACGGCUAACUCUGUGCCAGCAGCCGCGGUAAUACAGAGGUCUCAAGCGUUGUUCGGAAUCACUGGGCGUAAAGCGUGCGUAGGCUGUUUCGUAAGUCGUGUGUGAAAGUCGCGGGCUCAACCCGCGGACGGCACUUGAUAUUGCGAGACUGGAG
rnacentral:rRNA from 1 species